AUUGAACGCUGGCGGCAUGCCUUACACAUGCAAGUCGAACGGUAACAGGUCUUCGGAUGCUGACGAGUGGCGAACGGGUGAGUAAUGCAUCGGAACGUGCCCAGUAGUGGGGGAUAGCCCGGCGAAAGCCGGAUUAAUACCGCAUACGACCUGAGGGUGAAAGGGGGGGGUCGCAAGACCUCUCGCUAUUGGAGCGGCCGAUGUCAGAUUAGCUAGUUGGUGGGGUAAAGGCCUACCAAGGCAACGAUCUGUAGUUGGUCUGAGAGGACGACCAGACACACUGGGAGUGAGACACGGCACAGACUCCUACGGGAGGCAGCAGUGGGGAAUUUUUGACAAUGGGCGCAAGCCUGAUCCAGCAAUGCCGCGUGCAGGAAGAAGGCCUUCGGGUUGUAAACUGCUUUUGUCAGGGAAGAAAUCUUCUGGGUUAAUACCUCGGGAGGAUGACGGUACCUGAAGAAUAAGCACCGGCUAACUACGUGCCAGCAGCCGCCGUAAGAC
rnacentral:rRNA from 1 species